rnacentral:rRNA from 1 species
CCUUGACGGUACCUGACCAGAAAGCCACGGCUAACUACGUGCCAGCAGCCGCGGUAAUACGUAGGUGGCAAGCGUUGUCCGGAAUUAUUGGGCGUAAAGCGCGCGCAGGCGGUUCUUUAAGUCUGAUGUGAAAGCCCCCGGCUCAACCGGGGAGGGUCAUUGGAAACUGGAGAACUUGAGUGCAGAAGAGAAGAGUGGAAUUCCACGUGUAGCGGUGAAAUGCGUAGAGAUGUGGAGGAACACCAGUGGCGAAGGCGACUCUUUGGUCUGUAACUGACGCUGAGGCGCGAAAGCGUGGGGAGCAAACAGGAUUAGAUACCCUGGUAGUCCACGCCGUAAACGAUGAGUGCUAAGUGUUAGAGGGUUUCCGCCCUUUAGUGCUGCAGCAAA